GACGAACGCUGGCGGCGUGCUUAACACAUGCAAGUCGAGCGGUAAGGCCCUUUCGGGGGUACACGAGCGGCGAACGGGUGAGUAACGCGUGGGUGACCUGCCCUUAGCUCUGGGAUAAGCCUGGGAAACUGGGUCUAAUACCGGAUAUGACUCCAUGACGCAUGUUGUGGGGUGGAAAGCCUUGUGCGGCUAGGGAUGGGCCCGCGGCCUAUCAGCUUGUUGGUGGGGUGAUGGCCUACCAAGGCGACGACGGGUAGCCGGCCUGAGAGGGCGACCGGCCACACUGGGACUGAGACACGGCCCAGACUCCUACGGGAGGCAGCAGUGGGGAAUCUUGCGCAAUGGGCGAAAGCCUGACGCAGCGACGCCGCGUGGGGA
rnacentral:rRNA from 1 species